UAAUACCCCAUAGAUCAUGGCAUCUGGAAUGAGCUAUGGUUCAAAGUUCCGGCGCUUAAGGAUCGGUCUGCGGCCUAUCAGGUAGUAGUGGGUGUAAAGUACCUACUAGCCUAUGACGGGUAUGGGCCUUGAGAGAGGGAGCCCAGAGUUGGAUUCUGAGACACGAAUCCAGGCCCUACGGGGCGCAGCAGUCGCGAAAACUUCACACUGGGGGCAACCCCGAUGAGGGAAUUCCUAGUGCUAGCUCUUUUUGAGUUAGCUUUUCUUUAGCGUAGAUAACUAAAGGAAUAAGGGCUGGGUAAGACGGGUGCCAGCCGCCGCGGUAAUACCUGCAGCCCAAGUGGUGGCCGAUAGUAUUGAGUCUAAAACGUUCGUAGCCGGUCUGAUAAAUCUUUGGGUAAAUCGGGAAGCUUAACUUUCCGACUUCCGAGGAGACUGUCAGACUUGGGACCGGGAGAGGCUAGAGGUACUUCUGGGGUAGGGGUAAAAUCCUGUAAUCCUAGAAGGACCACCGGUGGCGAAGGCGUCUAGCUAGAACGGAUCCGACGGUGAGGGACGAAGCCCUGGGGCGCAAACGGGAUUAGAUACCCCGGUAGUCCAGGGUGUAACGCUGCAGACUUGGUGU
rnacentral:rRNA from 1 species